rnacentral:tRNA from 1 species
UUAGUCAAAACCAAAGCUGAGGUGAGUUAUUGUUAAUAAUUUAAGUGGUAAUAAUUACCUGACUAAA